CCCGCACAAGCGGUGGAGCAUGUGGUUUAAUUCGAUGCAACGCGAAGAACCUUACCUGGGCUUGACAUCCCGGGAAUCCCUUGGAAACAAGGGAGUGCCCUUCGGGGAACCUGGAGACAGGUGCUGCAUGGCUGUCGUCAGCUCGUGUCGUGAGAUGUAGGGUUAAGUCCCGCAACGAGCGCAACCCCUAUUGUUAGUUGCCAUCAUUCAGUUGGGCACUCUAGCGAGACUGCCGGUAAUAAACCGGAGGAAGGUGGGGAUGACGUCAAAUCAUCAUGCCCCUUAUGACCUGGGCUACACACGUGCUACAAUGGUUGGUACAACGAGUUGCGAGUCGGUGACGGCGAGCUAAUCUCUUAAAGCCAAUCUCAGUUCGGAUUGUAGGCUGCAACUCGCCUACAUGAAGUCGGAAUCGCUAGUAAUCGCGGAUCAGCACGCCGCGGUGAAUACGUUCCCGGGCCUU
rnacentral:rRNA from 1 species